UAGUGUUAUGGCUCUUUUAAAAUUUGUCUCGCAGGCUUUCCAGUUUUUGCCAGAAAGCCCUU
ensembl:snRNA U7 U7 small nuclear RNA